CUAGCCGUAAACGAUGGAUACUAGGCGUUGUGAGUAUCGACCCUCACAGUGUCGUAGCUAACGCGUUAAGUAUCCCGCCUGGGGAGUACGCGCGCAAGCGUGAAACUCAAAGGAAUUGACGGGGCCCGCACAAGCGGUGGAGUAUGUGGUUUAAUUCGAUGCAACGCGAAGAACCUUACCAGGACUUGACAUGUCGCGAAUCUCAGGGAAACUUGAGAGUGCCUUCGGGAGCGCGAACACAGGUGGUGC
rnacentral:rRNA from 1 species